GGCUCAGGAUGAACGCUAGCUACAGGCUUAACACAUGCAAGUCGAGGGGAAACGAUAUUGGAAGCUUGCUUCCGAUAGGCGUCGACCGGCGCACGGGUGAGUAACGCGUAUCCAACCUGCCCAUCACUUGGGGAUAACCUUGCGAAAGUAAGACUAAUACCCAAUGACGUCUCUAGAAGACAUCUGAAAGAGAUUAAAGAUUUAUCGGUGAUGGAUGGGGAUGCGUCUGAUUAGCUUGUUGGCGGGUAACGGCCCACCAAGGCGACGAUCAGUAGGGGUUCUGAGAGGAAGGCCCCCCACAUUGGAACUGAGACACGGUCCAAACUCCUACGGGAGGCAGCAGUGAGGAAUAUUGGUCAAUGGACGAGAGUCUGAACCAGCCAAGUAGCGUGCAGGAUGACGGCCCUAUGGGUUGUAAACUGCUUUUAUAAGGGAAUAAAGUGAGUCUCGUGAGACUUUUUGCAUGUACCUUAUGAAUAAGGACCGGCUAAUUCCGUG
rnacentral:rRNA from 1 species